GCGUUGUUCGUGAAAUCUCACGGCUUAACUGUGAGCGUGCGGGCGAUACGGGCAGACUUGAGUACUGCAGGGGAGACUGGAAUUCCUGGUGUAGCGGUGGAAUGCGCAGAUAUCAGGAGGAACACCGGUGGCGAAGGCGGGUCUCUGGGCAGUAACUGACGCUGAGGAGCGAAAGCGUGGGGAGCGAACAGGAUUAGAUACCCUGGUAGUCCACGCCGUAAACGGUGGGUACUAGGUGUGGGUUUCCUUCCUUGGGAUCCGUGCCGUAGCUAACGCAUUAAGUACCCCGCCUGGGGAGUACGGCCGCAAGGCUAAAACUCAAAGAAAUUGACGGGGGCCCGCACAAGCGGCGGAGCAUGUGGAUUAAUUCGAUGCAACGCGAAGAACCUUACCUGGGUUUGACAUGCACAGGACGCCGGCAGAGAUGUCGGUUCCCUUGUGGCCUGUGUGCAGGUGGUGCAUGGCUGUCGUCAGCUCGUGUCGUGAGAUGUUGGGUUAAGUCCCGCAACGAGCGCAACCCUUGUCUCAUGUUGCCAGCGGGUAAUGCCGGGGACUCGUGAGAGACUGCCGGGGUCAACUCGGAGGAAGGUGGGGAUGACGUCAAGUCAUCAUGCCCCUUAUGUCCAGGGCUUCACACAUGCUACAAUGGCCGGUACAAAGGGCUGCGAUGCCGCGAGGUUAAGCGAAUCCUUUUAAAGCCGGUCUCAGUUCGGAUCGGGGUCUGCAACUCGACCCCGUGAAGUCGGAGUCGC
rnacentral:rRNA from 1 species